GUUCAUGAAUGUGUGUAUGUGUCUGUGCAUGUCCAUAUAUCUACUCCUGCCUCAAAGAAUAAAUGGAUUUUUUAUAAAUUAGAAAGAAAAUACCUCAGUAUGGAAAUAUGCACUGAACACUAUCGACCUAAUAGCUAGGAAAAUUAACAGCUGACUGCAUGCCAGCUUUGGCACAAUGGAAGUGGCCAGCAGAAAGGAAGCUUCCAGAUCAGUUCCAGGCUCAUUUUUGUAUUUUGUAACCAAGAGAUCAACUCUGGUAUAAAAAGGGAGCAAUUCCAUAAAUGUGUGGAUACCAGCACAGAGGACUCUCUAGAAGCCUUGGAGGAUGCCACGCCUAAAUGGAAUAUUUUCUACAUGUUGUCAGCCGUGAGUAGAAGGUUGAGCCCAAGGCUGGAGACCUAGCCAGGUUCCCUGCUUGUUCAUACUGGAAGGAUCCAGAUUUCUGCAUUUCACCCCCGAGAGCCACAGCAGGUGGGUUGUUUCUUCUUGCUGUGAUAAAUGCUCAAGAAAACAGCCUAAAGCAGGGGACGUCGCUGACUGUUUCGGAGGGCUGAGUUUGUAACAGCGCGUGUGCUGAAGUAAAGCUGUCCCCUUCCGGGCUGCCGUGGUUUGAGUGUGAAAUGUCCUGCCCACACUUGGCCCACAGCUGGUGGUGCUGAAUUGGAAGGCUGUGGAAUCUUUGAGGAGAUGGAGCCUCAUUAGAGGAGCUACGUCCCUGCUGCCAGACAUGGAGAAGUUCGUAAUGAUGGUGGAAAACUGCCAAGCUCAGCACACUUCUUCAAACAAAUAAUGAAAUUCCAGUAAAGACUACUUGAGUUUGCUGGAACAAUAAUGAAGACAAUAAUAUUUUGUAUACCU
ensembl:lincRNA 4930425L21Rik uncharacterized LOC110295569